AGUGUGCGCCUGUUCCUUCGUCUGCGUAUAUGUGUGUGUGCGUGCGUGUGUGCGCGCGCGCGCGCGUUAUCCCCUCCCUCAGAGCGAGCGCGAGCUACGGAGAGCAGAGACGGAGCAGAGUAAACGGCAGUCAGUGUGAACGGACUCUCCGCUUUUGUUGUUGUUGUUGUUGCAGAGAUCGGAGCGCGUGCGGUUACAUUUUUGUUUUGCUGUUCUGCGCGAGGAUGAGGACAACGAGCGCGUGAGUGAACUAGACCCACGGGGACUCGCACGCGCACCGCUACGAUUACGGAACGGAUCUGCUCGCGAGAGGGAACUCCAGCUUUGGAUCGUGUGUGUGUGUGUGUGUGUGAGAGAGAGAGAGAGAGAGAGAGAGAGAGAGUGGAUGAGGCUUCGCUUUAACGGAGCGGCAGAGCGACAACACGAUUUCAUUUCUAGGAUCAUUUCCUAAAGCUGGGUUCUUUUCCGAACGAUUUUGAUGUCACUGUCAACCCAAACGAGUUUCUAGCGUUUCUGUCACUAAGGAAAGAACGUAAGGAGUGUUUCUUGUACUUCUAAUUCAGCUUAAACAUUCUGCAUAAACGGGGUGAUGUUUGCUAUCUCUGGCAACCUGACGCAUACAGAAGGUUUCUGUCACUGAUGGGGUGCCUAUAGCUUAAGCUAUCUUUUUAUGUUGAAUGAUUUUUGCUUAGAACUGUAUGCUUUUUGUUUCCACUGGCAACCUAAAGCUUACAAAGGGGUCCAUGUAGGUGCAAUGUUUUGGACUACUAAACCUGAUCUACUCAUAUUUCAUGCCUCUGGCAACCUCAAACACAUCAAUGGCUUCAUAUAGUAGGAUUCUGUUAUUGCUUACAUGUAAACAUGAGCCAUAGUUUAUUUCUAAAUUAUUUUAACGAUUAGUCUUGACAGAUGAUGUCAUGCUGUCUCAAACUGGGUCUCCCUACUGGAUGAUAUUUAAAACCACUGGCAACCUAAAGCAAUACAACAUUUUUAAUAGUCGAUAUAGUUACUAAUUUUUAAAAGAUUUAGCAGGGCUUAUUGCAGUCUCUUAAGGGUGUUAAUUCUGAUAACUGGCAACCUGAACUACGUAGAUUUCUGUCAUUAAGUAGGCUAUAAAUGCGUUAUAGCUUAAGGUACAUUUUAUGUUAUGUUUUGCGUGCUGCUUACAAUGUGUUCCCUCUUCAGACAGACGUUUAAUACAACUGGCAACCUAAAUCUUACAAACUCUUGUGUUAAUAUUUCUAAAAGAGAAAAUGUUUGCAUGGCCUCUUUGGAGUUAUAUUUGAUACCACUGGCAACAUAAACUGUGUAGGUUUCUGUCACUGGUUAAAUAUAGAGGAACACAUUUUAAAAAUAAAAAUAAAAAUUGUUUCUAAGUGAGAUUUAAGUAGUAAUUUUCACAUGAUGCUUGUUAUUGCCUCAGGCUGAUUUUUUUUAACACUGGAAACUUAAAUCAUACAAAAGUUUUAAUAGUUCUGCUAAAAGUUGUUUCAAAAAGAUCUCAGAAAAUGCAUUAAGAAUGCGUAUUGUCUUCUGGGUGUUAUUUCAUAUCACUGGCAACCUCGGCUGUGGGUUUGCAUCACUGGUUUAAUAUAGCUUAACACACACACAUACAUAAACGCUUACACAGAAAGUCAUGCGUAUUCAUUUUUACUUGGUGCAUAAAUACAGUUUAUUUAUGUUUAUAGAUGAUAUUUGACAUCGCUGGCAACCUAAAGCGUACAAAAAGAUUUAUAUCUUCUUUUUUUUUUAAAUGGCUGAUUAGAUGUAACAACAAAGCUUAUAAGGUUUCAGGAGGCGUAGUGCUUUGACUAGUGAUUUCGUGACACUUAAUGCAUGGUUUCCGGGUGUAAUUUGAUAUCACUGGCAACCUAAAGCUUAAAGAGGGUUUAAUAUGGGGAUUGUGUCACUGGUUAGAAGAUAUAUUAUUAUAUGAGCCUUCUGGGGGUUUUUUUUCCUGACAAAGCUUUCUAAGAAGAUUUUACAUCUCAGUAGGAUGAUUUUUUUGACACUGCUGGCAACCCACCGCUGGCACUGAAAACGCUUGUUAAGAACUUCUUGAAGAAAUCAUUUGUAGUAAAAGAAAGUUUAUGGAGGAAUGAACGAGAGGGAGCUAUUGAGUGUGUGUGUGUGUGUGUGUGUGUGUGUGUGUGUGUGUGAAGACGCUAAGAGUGGAAGGAAGGUGGUGUGUUUCCUCCUCACAUGAAGAAGUUUUAUUGUCAAGAAGAGAUAGUCUAUUGUUUCGUAAUAUUUACGAUCUGCGCUCAGAAAUCCGGCCACGUCCCGAACGGCAUCGCUGUGCCCUUGCUAGGGUUCGGCGAGAAGCGAGUGUGUGAGUUUGAACGAAGGGAUGUGAGGUCGUCCAGCGUGAAAGCUUUAAAUUCAGCUGGCAGGGUGCAGCUCAGCAAGGGGUUCACACACAUACACAUUCACCCACUCUCUUUCACACACACACACACACACACACACACACUCUCGAACCCCCAGCCAGUCCAGAUGUUCAGCUCAUCCAUUCAGAGUCAAUGUGUCUCCUGCAGCCUCAAUCUUCUUAUUGUCGCACCACAAUGGACUCGCAUCCUGCCUAAGCUUCAUCCACAUGGGAUAAAUAUAAAUGACACGGGCGGAGGAAUGGGCAUCCAGGAAAUCCGGGAAUCUCUGUCCAUUCCGUUUUUCACUGCCCGCUUCCUGUCUGGAUCUUUGACUCAAAUUAAAGAUGACAUACUCGCUUCGCUUCUCUUUUCUUCUCGCCCACCAAACAUCCAAAUUGAGAGCUGGAGUCGGACUAAACGCGCUAAUUAUCUUAUUAACCCCCCAUUCCUUUUUUUUCAGUUUCCUCGCUAUUAAAUUUGUCUUCAGGUCUUUUUCCGGAACAAGGCAUGAACUUAAGGAUUCCGGAUGGAAUAUUCACACCACUGGCAACCUAAAACAUAAAUCAAAAAGCGAAUAAAAAACUUAUUAAGAUGGUGGGCCUUGAAAUACCUGGCAACCCUGGCGACCUAAAAAAAAAAGAAGGAAAAAAACGAAUCAAACGCUUAUUAAAAAGGUGGGCUAAUUAAAAAUACCUGGCAACCAUGUCUGUAUUGUAAUAUUAUAAUGAUACGAUCGUAAAAUUAUUUUUAAAAAUGUACGCAAAAUACAGUACGUUUGAUGCUGUUACAGCGGAAUAAUCGACACCAAGGUGGCGUGAUGUCAUGAAGUGAGGCGGAGUUUUACGUUCGUAAUCGUAUCGUACGCCAACGAAAAACAUUACGUAUAAACGUUGCGGGACGUCCACGGAACGUGUUAUAGCAGUUGCAGUUGCAGACGUUCGUUCCGCUCGGACGUUGUAUCGGCGCGGCGAGAGAUUCAGACGGAAGAAUUCGUAAGAAACGCCGCUAGCCGUUAAACCUCUCGAAUGUGCUCGCAUGCGAAAGAACGUCACGUAUUGUAGAGCAGGCCUUUCUUUCCAGCAAGAUCGGUGUGGUUAUGGAAAAAAAUUAUACAUACACACUUACACACACACACUUUCUAGGUUUUUAAAAGUAAAAUACAAAGCGCUAAUUCGAUGUGAAAGCGUCACGGCGUUUUUGUUUUCUGCGAUGUCGAUCGCGAUCGCUAAUCCGUCCGGUGUGCGUUGGCGCGUGAAAGGCUGGUUUGAGCGAGUUAUUGAAUUACUGCGCUGGAACAGAUGUUCCUCUCUCAGCUCUCAUUGUGAUUAGCGUCGUGUUUAUGUGUGUGCGUGCGUGUCUGUGUGUGUGUGUGUGUGUGUGUGUGUGUGUGAAUGAAAGACUGCUCAGAAGUUACUCAGCAACUGUUUGCGCUAAGUCACAAACCUUUAGCGGCUCACUAACCCUCUGUGUGUGUGUGUGUGUGUGUGAUGUUCAGGAGAGGAUACAAAUCAGCUGGUGGCUCGGAUGCUGUGUGUGUGUGUGUGUGUGUGUGUGUGUGUGUGUGUUUCCUCAUCAUCAUAUUAUGUUGCGGCGUCCCUGCUGCAUUACGCUACCGUGCCUGCAGCUAGCCUGCCGCUCUCAACACUUCUAGCUUCAUCCCUCAUUAGGCUUUCUGCUUUUUCUUCCUUCCCUCGGAGCGCUGCGUUCCC
ensembl:lncRNA